GUGGGGAAUAUUGGACAAUGGGCGAAAGCCUGAUCCAGCCAUGCCGCGUGUGUGAAGAAGGUCUUCGGAUUGUAAAGCACUUUAAGUUGGGAGGAAGGGCAGUAAGUUAAUACCUUGCUGUUUUGACGUUACCAACAGAAUAAGCACCGGCUAACUUCGUGCCAGCAGCCGCGGUAAUACGAAGGGUGCAAGCGUUAAUCGGAAUUACUGGGCGUAAAGCGCGCGUAGGUGGUUCAGCAAGUUGGAGGUGAAAUCCCCGGGCUCAACCUGGGAACUGCCUCCAAAACUGCAUGACUAGAGUACGGUAGAGGGUAGUGGAAUUUCCUGUGUAGCGGUGAAAUGCGUAGAUAUAGGAAGGAACACCAGUGGCGAAGGCGACUACCUGGACUGAUACUGACACUGAGGUGCGAAAGCGUGGGGAGCAAACAGGAUUAGAUACCCUUGUAGUCC
rnacentral:rRNA from 1 species